AUCAGUGCUUCCCCUGGAGACCUAGAGGAGGGUGAAGGACCUGUGGACACCACCAUGUGCAGGAAGGAGGUGUGGGUGUGUGUUUAGAUGGGAGACUGUGUUCCCAGCUGACCUGAACUGUUGGAGAGAGCUCCAAAGGAGUGGAGAAAGGACGAGAAAACCCCCUCCCAAGAGACUGUGUGAGUCUAACAGAGGAUUCUGGGACUUGUGCACAUCCAUGGCUCUGGAAAGGGAUAUACAAUCCACAGACGAAGGAAAUUGCUCAACUAUAAGACUCAUAUGUUACCCAUACACUGCCUUAUUCACUAAAUCUUUUUCCAGUAGGCAUAACAGGAGGAAAUUGAACUACAAUCCCUCAAACCAUUAGCAGAAAAAGUCACUUAUUAGGAAAAUAUGUUGUAAGUGUUAUGCAAAUCUUGGGUUUUGAAAUGAAUAAUGUGAGUUAAAUGAAAUUUAUGAAAGUCUGCUCUUUGUAUUGCUAUUUAGAUGCUGACAUUAAAUAGUAAAUUAAAUAGUUAAUUUUUUAACUCAUGUCAAUAGCAUCUUGGUUACACUACUGUUAAGUGUGGAGUAUUAUGGUUUUCUCCAAAGGGGUUAUUUACUAAAACCUGACUUUUUAUCACUUUAUUUGUUUUUUAAAAAUUAGACCAAACCCAAAUGCCAUUAAUUUACCAACAAUUGUUAUCAGCAAUCAUACUUUUAACAAUUAUAAAAUGCAAGUGUGAUCAAUUCAUUCAAUGAUUUUAAUAAAAAUUCUUUUUUUUU